UACGUAGGGGGCUAGCGUUGUCCGGAAUCAUUGGGCGUAAAGCGCGUGUAGGCGGCCCGGUAAGUCCGCUGUGAAAGUCGGGGGCUCAACCCUCGGAUGCCGGUGGAUACUGUCGGGCUCGAGUACGGAAGAGGCGAGUGGAAUUCCUGGUGUAGCGGUGAAAUGCGCAGAUAUCAGGAGGAACACCGAUGGCGAAGGCAGGUCUCUGGGCCGAUACUGACGCUGAGGAGCGAAAGCGUGGGGAGCGAACAGG
rnacentral:rRNA from 1 species